GAUGAACGCUAGCGGCAGGCCUAAUACAUGCAAGUCGAACGGUGGCAGCAAUGUCACAGUGGCGCACGGGUGCGUAACGCGUAGGCAAUCUGCCUACUCCUGGGGGAUAGCCCGCCGAAAGGUGGAUUAAUACCGCAUAAGACUACAGGGCGGCAUCGUCUAGUAGUUAAAGAAUUUCGGGAGUAGAUGAGCCUGCGUGCCAUUAGCUAGUUGGUGCGGUAACGGCGCACCAAGGCGACGAUGGCUAGGGGAGCUGAGAGGCCGAUCCCCCACACUGGCACUGAGAUACGGGCCAGACUCCUACGGGAGGCAGCAGUAGGGAAUAUUGGGCAAUGGGCGCGAGCCUGACCCAGCCAUGCCGCGUGACGGAUGAAGGCCUUCUGGGUUGUAAACGUCUUUUGAUCGGGAAGAAAAAGCCCUUGCGAGGGAAAUCGACGGUACCGAUUGAAUAAGCACCGGCUAACUCCGUGCCAGCCGCCGCAGUAAAAC
rnacentral:rRNA from 1 species